GCAGCGUUAUCCGGAAUCAUUGGGCGUAAAGCGCCUGUAGGUUGUUUAAUAAGUCUGUUGUUAAAGACUGGGGCUUAACCCCAGGAAAGCAAUGGAAACUAAUAGACUAGAGUAUGGUAGGGGUAAAGGGAAUUUCUAGUGUAGCGGUGAAAUGCGUAGAUAUUAGAAAGAACACCGGUGGCGAAAGCGCUUUACUGGACCAUUACUGACACUCAGAGGCGAAAGCUAGGGUAGCCAAAGGGAUUAGAUACCCCUGUAGUCCUAGCCGUAAACGAUGGAUACUAGAUGUUGCGCCUAUUGUGCAGUGUCGUAGCUAACGCGUUAAGUAUCCCGCCUGGGGAGUACGAUCGCAAGGUUGAAACUCAAAGGAAUUGACGGGGGCCCGCACAAGCGGUGGAGCAUGUGGUUUAAUUCGAUGCAACGCGAAGAACCUUACCAGGGCUUGACAUACUGCAAAUUUUCUUGAAAGAGAAAAGUGCCUUCGGGAAUGCAGAUACAGGUGGUGCAUGGCUGUCGUCAGCUCGUGUCGUGAGAUGUUGGGUUAAGUCCCGCAACGAGCGCAACCCUCGUUUUUAGUUGCCAUUUUAUGGGUUCUCUAGAAAGACUGCCGGUGACAAACCGGAGGAAGGUGGGGAUGACGUCAAGUCAGCAUGCCCCUUAUGCCCUGGGCUACACACGUGCUACAAUGGCUAAGACAAAGAGUCGCGAAUUCGCGAGAAUCAGCUAAUCUCAUAAACUUAGUCUAAGUUCAGAUUGUAGGCUGCAACUC
rnacentral:rRNA from 1 species